GAGCAUUGUGACCAGCACCCUCCCUGGGAUGACUUACUUUUGUCCUUGGGCAUGUGCUGAAGUUAAGGGUGAGGCUUCCCUCUGUUCGUAAAAAGCAACCAGUGGUCACCCACAUUAAUUUUCUGUUCUACAUAUGAUAAUAAAACAAAAUAUUAA